rnacentral:lncRNA from 10 species
GGAAAAUCAUCAGUCAAGAGCCAAAGUUUCCUGAGGCCAUGAACCUCCACCAGGAGAAGGAGGACAAGGAGGAGGAAGAUAAUUGAGGAGGAGAAGAAGGAGUAAGGGGAGAAGAAGAAGGAGUAGGGGAAGAAGAAGAGGAGGAAAGAGAAGGAGGAGGAGGAAGAAGAGGAAGAAGAGGAGGAGGAGGAAGAGGAGGAGGAAGAGGAGAAGGAGGAGGAGGAGGAGGAGGUCGUCAUUAUUUUGGCCACCACCACCAAAAUGUAUCCUGAUUGUUUCUCAUAUUUUCCAAUCCAACAUUGCAGAAGACUUUCUAAUCUCCGUAUUUAUACUUAGAAUUUAAAAAUAUUCUGAAGGUCAAGAAAGAAGUAGGCAAAUCCCCAGGACAGACCCAGCCCUUAUGCUCCUCACAACCUGCCUACUCUUGGCUUUUGCAACCUUGAGUUCAACUACCGUCACUUCAUACCACCUGUCGCUCCCCACACAUGCUGUGUGCUUUCCUGCUUUGUUCCCUCUCCUAGGCUGCAGCCCCUCACCCUCUGCCAAGUUCUAGAAGUGCACAGCAUUCCUGAAGGCCUGGUUCAAAUACCAUCUCUUCUGGUAGGCAGGCAGAGCUCGUCACUCCCUCCUCAGCAUGCCCACCCCUGACACUGAGCACUCUUGUCCACUACCUAAUUUGUCAUGUUGUCAUGAAGUUAGUGUUUGAUGAAUGUGUCCCUUGCUUCUUUGUGAGCUAAGUAAGGAUAUAGAAUGGAGUUUACUCUCAUAGGCUGGCAUAAAGUAGGUAUGCAGAAAUAACAUUUACUGGAUGAAUCAAUGCUUGCAUGCAUGAGUGAGU